ACGCUGGCGGCGUGCCUAACACAUGCAAGUCGAGCGGGAAGCUUUAAAUUGAGACUUCGGUUGAUUUUUAAAGUGGAGAGCGGCGGACGGGUGAGUAACGCGUGAGUAACCUGCCUUCAAGAGGGGGAUAACACAGAGAAAUCUGUGCUAAUACCGCAUAACACCACAGUAUCGCAUGAUACCAUGGUCAAAGAUUUAUCGCUUGAAGAUGGACUCGCGUCUGAUUAGCUAGUUGGUGAGGUAACGGCUCACCAAGGCGACGAUCAGUAGCCGAACUGAGAGGUUGAUCGGCCACAUUGGGACUGAGACACGGCCCAGACUCCUACGGGAGGCAGCAGUGGGGAAUAUUGCGCAAUGGGGGCAACCCUGACGCAGCAACGCCGCGUUGAGGAUGACGGUUUUCGGAUUGUAAACUCAUGUCGGGUGGGAAGAUGAUGACGGUACCACCGGAGAAAGUCACGGCUAACUACGUG
rnacentral:rRNA from 1 species